AUUGAACGCUGGCGGCAGGCCUAACACAUGCAAGUCGAGCGAGCGGCGGACGGGUGAGUAAUGUAUGGGGACUGCCCGAUAGCGGGGGAUAACUACUGGAAACGGUAGCUAAUACCGCAUACUAUCGGAUACCCCCUAUGGGAGUAGCUAGUAGGUGAGGUAAUGGCUCACCUAGGCGACGAUCCCUAGAUGGUCUGAGAGGAUGAGCAGCAACAUGGGGACUGAGACACGGCCCAGACUCCUACGGAGGCAGCAGUGGGGAAUAUUGCACAAUGGGCGCAAGCCUGAUGCAGCCAUGCCGCGUGUAUGAAGAAGGCCCUAGGGGUGUAAAGUACUUUCAGUCGGGAGGCGUUACCGACAGAAGAAGCACCGGCUAACUCCGUGCCAGCAGCCGCGGUAAUUC
rnacentral:rRNA from 1 species